rnacentral:rRNA from 1 species
AUUGAACGCUGGCGGCAGGCCUAACACAUGCAAGUCGAGCGGAUGAAGGGAGCUUGCUCCUGGAUUCAGCGGCGGACGGGUGAGUAAUGCCUAGGAAUCUGCCUGGUAGUGGGGGAUAACGUCCGGAAACGGGCGCUAAUACCGCAUACGUCCUGAGGGAGAAAGUGGGGGAUCUUCGGACCUCACGCUAUCAGAUGAGCCUAGGUCGGAUUAGCUAGUUGGUGGGGUAAAGGCCUACCAAGGCGACGAUCCGUAACUGGUCUGAGAGGAUGAUCAGUCACACUGGAACUGAGAAACGGCCCAGACUCCUACGGGAGGCAGCAGUGGGGAAUAUUGGACAAUGGGCGAAAGCCUGAUCCAGCCAGGCCGCGUGUGUGAAGAAGGUCUUCGGAUUGUAAAGCACUUUAAGUUGGGAGGAAGGGCAGUAAGUUAAUACCUUGCUGUUUUGACGUUACCAACAGAAUAAGCACCGGCUAACUUCGU